rnacentral:misc_RNA from 1 species
GUCCUUUUUUUUUUCCCCAUUUCGGUGAAUAAUUAUUAGGACAAAUUGCCGGUUACUAGCUUAAUAAGGUCGACCAAGAAAGAUAAUGACUUGGAGGAAAAAUACAUUGCAUCCCUCAAGAUUCAAGAACAAAGACGAGAGAACUUACCCAGAAAUGAGACCUGGCAUGAGUGGAAAAGCUGCCUGAUCUUCUGAUCCUUG